GCGUGUCUCCCUUUUUUUGUAGGUCGCUCAUUGCAAAUCUUUCUGCUGCAAGCUGCUACAAGGUUGAACACUUGCAUAAGCAUGAGUAUUGGGCUCUAGUUGGGAAUGUUAAGUUCUACUACAUUGAUGGAUUCUUCGUCACAAUAUAUCACCAUAAUCCAUUCAGUUGGUAUGUGAACAUGCAGCUGCUAACAACAAGCUAAGAAGACAUGAUCCUUUAUGAGAACCAGACAUGUCAUAUUUUGUAAUGUCUUCUCUUUGAUCAGAUUUCAACACAUUUCUCUACUGUUUCUUUCUAACAGUAGCAAGAAUCAAGGUUUACCGACAUCUGAAAUAUCUAUCUACUCUCAGUUAGUACAUGAUUUUUUCUAUUAAGAUUUUUUUUAUUAAGAAUCUUAGUUAUUGGAUAAGUUGAGGUUUGUUUAGUUUUAGCAACCAGAUGGAAUCUUAUAGAAUCGUCAGUUUGGUAGAUAACAUCCAUGUUGUUUCUUCUUAUGUUCUUUGUUUUUAAUUUUGUGUACAAAAUCAAUUUGUGUGACAUGUUUUUGUUGGGUAUAUUGUGAUGUUCUCUGUUGAACAAAUCGACAAUGCACAUUUUUGGAUGAA